AGAAGGUAGGGCUCUGGUGAGUGAGGUCUCCUCUCCAUGGUCAGACUUCUUGACCCACUGACCAUCUACUUUAUGAAAGCCCAUUCUAAGCAAGGUUUUGUCACUGUAGUAGUUGGUGUGCCUAAGAUAUCUAGAUGGUUCUUCUUCAGAAAUGGGUCCACCGAACUCUCUAAAAAUUAGGGUGAAGACCAUCCGAUAAGGCAAACUUGCCUUAGACUUAGUAGCAGCUUCCCCUAUGUAGGACAUCAUCAUCCUAGGUAAGUUAAGGGAAAUACUCCAAAAUAAAAUCAAAUCUACCACUUUUUGGGAAGAGGAUACUACUUAUUAUGCUUAGGAUAAUUGGUUUGCAUAGACUUCUUUUAAGGGGUUUACUAUGUCCCUACCUAAAAUAAGUCUGAGCGCUCCCUAUCUAUUAGAAUGGGUAGUAGGGGCUUGUCCCUCUCUAGGGAGACCUACUAGGUUGGCCAAAUAUUCUUCUGUUAGGGUUAUUCCAACAUUCCUAACAGUGCCAACUAAUCCGCCCGAACCUCUACCAACUGAACUAAAAAAUUUCCUCAUCAAGCUUGGGUAGGUAUGUUAGAUGU
rnacentral:lncRNA from 1 species